rnacentral:rRNA from 1 species
AUUGAACGCUGGCGGCAGGCCUAACACAUGCAAGUCGAGCGGAUGACGGGAGCUUGCUCCUUGAUUCAGCGGCGGACGGGUGAGUAAUACCUAGGAAUCUGCCUGAUAGUGGGGGACAACGUUUCGAAAGGAACGCUAAUACCGCAUACGUCCUACGGGAGAAAGCAGGGGACCUUCGGGCCUUGCGCUAUCAGAUGAGCCUAGGUCGGAUUAGCUAGUUGGUGAGGUAAUGGCUCACCAAGGCGACGAUCCGUAACUGGUCUGAGAGGAUGAUAAGUCACACUGGACCUGAGACACGGUCCGGACUCCGACGGGAGGCAGCAGUGGGGAAUAUUGGACAAUGGGCGAAAGCCUGAUCCAGCCGUGCCGGGUGUGUGAAGAAGGUCUUCGGAUUGUAAAGCACUUUAAGUUGGGAGAAAGGGCAGUAAGCUAAUACCUUGCUGUUUUGACGUUACGACAGAAUAAGCACCGGCUAACUCUGUGCCAGCCGCCGCGGUAAAAC